rnacentral:rRNA from 1 species
AGCAGCCGCGGUAAUUCCAGCUCCAAUAGCGUAUAUUAAAGUUGUUGCAGUUAAAAAGCUCGUAGUUGAAUUUCGGGAUUAGUACGUUGGUCGUGCCUUCGGUACGUACUGGUGUUACUGAUUCCUACCUUCUGACGAACCAUCAUGUCAUUUAUUUGGUGUGGCGGGGAAUCAGGACUGUUACUUUGAAAAAUUAGAGUGUUUAAAGCAGGCUCGCGCUUGAAUACAUUAGCAUGGAAUAAUGAAAUAGGACGUUGACCCUAUUUUGUUGGUUUCUAGGAUUGACGUAAUGAUUAAUAGGGAUAGUUGGGGGCAUUAGUAUUCAAUUGUCAGAGGUGAAAUUCUUGGAUUUAUUGAAGACUAACUACUGCGAAAGCAUUUGCCAAGGAUGUUUUCAUUAAUCAAGAACGAAAGUUAGGGGAUCGAAGACGAUCAGAUACCGUCGUAGUCUUAACCAUAAACUAUGCCGACUAAGGGGAUCGGAUGAUGUUAUUUUUAAUGACUCAUUCGGCGCCUUACGGGAACCAAA